AAGUCGUAACAAGGUUUCCGUAGGUGAACCUGCGGAAGGAUCAUUAAUACGUCUAAACAACGUUUUAAACCUUUCAAAUUUGUGGAAAUUCUUACCAUUCCGGGUGCAUCUCUUUGGCAUGAGAAGGGACUUCUUGUUAUGAGACACUUCAGUGUAGAGCAGUGAGGUGAAAUCUGAGGUUUUGAUGGCUUGGAUUUGGUUCUGGAUCACGACUCUUUGGUGACAGAGAGUCAAAUGCUGAAUGCAUUCGGUUAUUACUGCUCUACAUUUUUUUAUUCUAUCAAACUUAUAAACCCCAUGUACAACAACUUGAACUAAACAUCUCUUCUGAUCACAUUGACUUGUGUGAUGAAGAACAAAUCUGAAAUUAAGAACAACUCUUAACAACGGAUAUCUUGGUUCUC
rnacentral:misc_RNA from 1 species